rnacentral:rRNA from 1 species
UACGAAGGGGGCUAGCGUUGUUCGGAAUUACUGGGCGUAAAGGGCGCGUAGGCGGUGUGUCAAGUCAGGCGUGAAAGCCCCGGGCUCAACCUGGGAACCGCGCUUGAGACUGGCACGCUAGAGUUCGGGAGAGGAUGGUGGAAUUCCCAGUGUAGAGGUGAAAUUCGUAGAUAUUCGCAAGAACACCAGUGGCGAAGGCGGCUCACUGGCCCGGUACUGACGCUGAGGUGCGAAAGCGUGGGGAGCAAACAGG